rnacentral:pre_miRNA from 1 species
UCACCUCUGCAGGCUGGCUGCCUCCCAGACUGGGUUGGGUGAGUAUCUCUUUGAAGGGCUCACCUUCAAGCAGGACUCUGAAG